CUAUGCAGGAAGCUCCCAGGUGAGGUCUCUGCCAUUUACCUCCAUGCAGAGACACCUUGGGUACUUUCUCUCUCUCUCUCUCUCUCUCUCUCUCUCUCUCUCUCUCUCUCUCUCUCUCUCUCUCUCUCUCAAUGACUCUCUCCCCUUCUUUCUCUGUCUCUUUUAUGUCUCUCCCCAAUCUCUCUCCCUCUCUCUCCCCUCUUUCUCUCUCUCACCAACUCUCUCCCUCUCUCAGUGUCUCUGUCAGUCUCUCUCUCUAAUUCUCUGUCUCUGUAUCUGUUCCUAUCCCUGUUCCUGUCCCUGUAUCUUCUCCCCAUCCUUCCCUCCCUCCCUCCCUCUCCCUCUCUGUCUCCCCCUACUCUCUCCCACAUCUCUCCCUCACUUUCUCUCUCCUCUCUCCCCCCUCUGUCUCUCUCUCACCCCCUUCUUCUCUCUCUCUGUCUCUGUGUCUCUCUCCCUCUCUAUCUCCCCCUCCCUCCUUCCCCCCUCUUUCUCUCUCUCCCUCUCAUCAUCCCUCUUUCUGUUUCUCUCCCUACCUUUCUCUGUCUCUCGCUGUCCCUCUCUUUCUGUCUCUCCUUCCCCCCUCUUUCUCUCUCUCACUCCCUCUCUCCCUCCCUCUUUCAGUCUCAGUCUACCUCCUUCUUUCUGUCUCUCUCUCCCUCCCUCCCUCCAUCAUCUCUCUUUCUCUGUCCCUCUCUCACUUUCCCUCUCUCUGUCUCUCUCCCUCCCUCCUUCCCCCUUCUCUCUCCUUCUCUUCUUUCCUCUCUCUGUCUCUCUCCCUCUCUCUUUAUCUCUCUCACUGUCACUGUCUCUCUCCCUCUCUCUCUCUCUCUCUCUCUCUCUCUUUCUCUCUCUCUCUCUCUCUCUCUCUCUCUCUCUCUCUCUCUCUCUUCCUCUCUCUCCUCUUGAGGGCACCUCUGCCUGUUGGCUCAUCCCCCAAGCCCUCAGCCAGGCUGCUGCAGCUUGAUCAGUGGGGCUUGGGACUCAUCAUAUAUCAUCAGACAUUCCUCUGGCAGGGCCAAGAUAUCAGAAGCUUCCCUUUGCAAAGAAUGGAAUGAAUGAAAGCUAACAAGUCGACCAAGUUUGUGUUAAACUGUGUCCAUUGCCAGCAAAAAGAGCUCGAGCUUUGCACAGCCCUCUAAAGGCUAUGCACAGUUUUGCUCAGGGGAAAAGAGUUGAUUUUGUAAUCAGAGCUCCAGUGUUCAGAUCCCAGCCCCAUAUUUUACUCUGACCUUUGGCAAAUCUCUUUGAUCCUUAGGCCUUGUUUUCCCCACACACAAAAUGAAAAGGUUGGACCAGCUGACUUUGUUU
rnacentral:lncRNA from 1 species